AAAUAAGAAGUAAAAAUUUACAUUUAGUUUCGACCUAAAAUUUGACAUCUAUUGUCCUUAUUUA
rnacentral:tRNA from 1 species